rnacentral:rRNA from 1 species
UACGGAGGGUGCAAGCGUUAUCCGGAUUCACUGGGUUUAAAGGGUGCGUAGGCGGGCAGGUAAGUCAGUGGUGAAAUCUCAGAGCUUAACUCUGAAACUGCCGUUGAUACUAUCUGUCUUGAAUAUUGUGGAGGUAAGCGGAAUAUGUCAUGUAGCGGUGAAAUGCGUAGAUAUCGAGAGGAACACCUGCGGCGAAGGCGGGUAGCUGGGCCGACACUGACGCUGAUGCGCGAAAGCCAGGGGAGCGAACGGG